AGCAAAACCGAGAAGAGAUGGAGAAAAAAGAGGGUUCGAAUGAGCAAAACCACCGGACAAGGGUUUCAAUCUCUCUCGAUAUUGCAUUCUCUACCCAAUUUUUUCUUUGAAUUCGAAGAUUUGUAUUCCGACUUCGAUUAAUUAGAUGUUUUGUUGUUUUUGUGAAGUGAAGAUGAUCAGAGGAGGCUUUCAAAACAGAACUUGCUGUGCAUCUGCUAGUGCUGUUGGAGAUCUAUUCCUGCUAGUUUCUGCUGCUGAUUUUUGCUGCUGCAAAGCUAUUUUAGGUGCUGAUUUUUGCUGCUGGUUUUUUUCUUGGCUUUGGUUGGUUGCUUACCAACUCUUGAUGGCGUGCUAGCAAAGGAUUGGACGAGCAUAUUGGUGCUAACCUAAUUGGGAUUGAUUUGAUUUCAACUUCCACCGGCCACUUUUGGAUAAUGAGCUCACGGAGAUUGAAGGACUGAUCAAUAGCUGGAUUGAGGACUCUACACUUCUGCAAACUAAAGUGAUGCCUCUAACUGAUGAUAAAAAGGUUGGGGCUAUUGCAAUGUUCGGAGAAAAAUAUGGAGAACAGGUACGUGUUGUAGAGGUUCUGGGUGUGUCCAUGGAUCUAUGUGGUGGCACUCAUGUCAGCAGUACUUCUGAAAUACGUGGCUUGAAAAUAAUCUCAGAACAGGGGAUUGCGUCUGGAAUCAGACGUAUAGAAGCCAUUGCUGGUGAUGCUUUUAUCGAAUGCUAGAGAUAACUACAUGAAACAGCUCUGCUCCACUCUCAAACUGAAGAUGUACCAGCCAGGGUAGAAACACUAUUGGAGGAAUUGCGAAUGGCAAGAAAUAAAAUUUUAGCUAUUCAUGCUAAAGCAGCAAUUCACAGAGCCUCAAUCAUCGCAAACAAUGUAUUGCUUGUAGGAAAUUCUAAAAAUAUCAGGUUAUAUCAGGAAAAGACCAGGAACAGUUUGGUUUUCCUGAUAUCUUUUACCAGAAUGUUGAUCAUUUUGGGUGGGGAAUGCAUUAUUGUCCCAGUAGCUGCCUAUUCCUUUUGAUCGAUCACAUGAGUUGAAAUCAAUCCAGCUGCUCUGUAAAUUUCUACGGAUGGUAUAAAGAGGGCAGAGCUUCUUAAGAUCAAUUUUUCCUUGCAGAUGAGCUUGCUGAAGAGGCAAAUAGGCUUGUGAACUAAGUGGAAGCUCUUGGUGAAAUAGCUAAACAACUGGGUAAAAAAGGCUGGAAUUUCAAUUUGAAACAUUGUGACAAAAACUUGAACUGGCAAACACCAAUAGUGGACUCCUCCCUUAUGUAUGACUGUACUGUCAAUUGCACCUGCCUUUCUGAUGAUGAAUGUCACAUCAGUGCCAUGUAAUAUAUUGUAUACAAAUCUCUAAUUCAAGAAUGAAUAAUUGAUUGCUUGAAGAAUUUUGCUGGGCUGCUGCUACUGCAAUGUUGCUGUGAAGCGGGCUGCUUCUAGAUGCUGGUCUGCUGCAAAUUUGGGUUGUUAGUUUCAUGUUUUCAUUUUGUUAUCUGUUGUUUUUACUAUGGGUUCACAAUUUGGAUGUAUUUGAGUAUUUUAGUGAGUUUACCCUUUCAAGUUUUAUACACCGCUUCCAAAAGCAUAUUUUUCAGCAGUAUUUUUUUGCCUACAC